GGUAUUGUUUUUAACCCCACGAUAAGCCCCGGAAACUUAUUGUGAUGAAAUAAAUACAAGAG
rfam:Bacillus shackletonii strain LMG 18435 super11, whole genome shotgun sequence.